GUAGGUAGCAAGCGUUGUCCGGAAUUAUUGGGCGUAAAGCGCGCGCAGGCGGGUCCUUUAAGUCUGAUGUGAAAGCCCACGGGCUCAACCGUGGAGGGUCAUUGGAAACUGGGGGACUUGAGUACAGAAGAGGAAAGCGGAAUUCCACGUGUAGCGGUGAAAUGCGUAGAGAUGUGGAGGAACACCAGUGGCGAAGGCGGCUUUCUGGUCUGUAACUGACGCUGAGGCGCGAAAGCGUGGGGAGCAAACAGGAUUAGAUACCCUGGUAGUCCACGCCGUAAACGAUGAGUGCUAAGUGUUAGGGGGUUUCCGCCCCUUAGUGCUGCAGCUAACGCAUUAAGCACUCCGCCUGGGGAGUACGGCCGCAAGGCUG
rnacentral:rRNA from 1 species